rnacentral:rRNA from 1 species
UACGUAGGGUGCUAGCGUUGUUCGGAAUUACUGGGCGUAAAGCGCGUGUAGGUGGUCGAACAAGUCGGAUGUGAAAGCCCUUGGCUUAACCAAGGAAGUGCGUCCGAAACUAUUUGGCUUGAGUACGGGAGAGGAGGAUGGAAUUCCCAGUGUAGAGGUGAAAUUCGUAGAUAUUGGGAAGAACACCUGUGGCGAAGGCGGUUCUCUAGACCGUAACUGACACUGAGACGCGAAAGCGUGGGGAGCAAACAGG